rnacentral:rRNA from 1 species
GCGAGGAGAGAAACUAACGAGGAUUCCCCGAGUAGCGGCGAGCGAAACGGGAAGAGCCCAGCGCUGAAUCCCGCCGUCCGCGCGGACGGCCGGGAAAUGUAGCGUUCGGUAGGAGAGUUAAACACAAACGCGCGGUCAUUAGUCACGAUCGCCAGUCCAAGUUCAUCUUGAACGGGGCCGUUUACCCGCAGAGGGUGCCAGGCCCGUGGAGACGGUGGUCGGCCGCGACGGUCUCCCUACCAAGAGUCGGGUUGCUUGAGAGUGCAGCCCUAAGUGGGUGGUAAACUCCAUCUAAGGCUAAAUAUCACCACGAGACCGAUAGCGAACAAGUACCGUGAGGGAAAGUUGAAAAGAACUUUGAAGAGAGAGUUAAAGAGUACGUGAAACCGUUCAGGGGUAAACCCGUGGAACUCGAACGAGCGAACGGGGAGAUUCAUCGCCCUUCCGUCGGCGCCCGCGUCGUCGUACGCACCGAUCCCGGCUCCGUCCUCGCGGCGGUCGUCGGUUCGGGCGGCGGCUGUCGUCGGUCAGGCGCCCGGAGGGCGUGCACUUCUCCCUCAGUAUACAACACCGCGACCCGUCGCGCUGCCGUCGAACGCUCCGUGCGGUCGUCCCUCGCGCCAACGGCGCGGGGAACCGCGGAGUCGCGGCGGCAGCUCUCAAUUUUUGCAGCGACGGUAGAGAACGAGGUUCGCGUCCGCCCCCCUCGGGGGGCGUCCGUCCCGCUCCGGCGGUGUCGGGGCCCACCGGCGACUCCCGAACGGAGUCGUCGGCGGACCCGAUCGGCGCCGAUGUCAGGCGGCGGGAUCUCGGACGGGACGCGUCCCGGUCUGCGGUGGUUCCGUUUCGGGCACUCACGGGACCCGUCUUGAAACACGGACCAAGGAGUCUAGCAUGUGCGCGAGUCAUUGGGACCAUGUACUAAACCCAGAGGCGCAACGAAAGUGAAAGACGGAGCCUCGCGCUCCGUCACCAGGGAAGAUGCGCGCACGUCUCCGCACGUGCCGCCGCAUUCCCGAGGCGUUUCGAGAAAGUCACCGUGCGAUUAUCGAGACGCACUGAGAGCGUACACGCUGGGACCCGAAAGAUGGUGAACUAUGCCUGGUCAGGUCGAAGUCAGGGGAAACCCUGAUGGAGGACCGAAGCGAUUCUGACGUGCAAAUCGAUCGUCGGAACUGGGUAUAGGGGCGAAAGACUAAUCGAACUAUCUAAUAGCUGGUUCCAUCCGAAGUUUCCCUCAGGAUAGCUGGCGCUCGGGAAACAUGCGCGCCCCCUCGCGGGGCGGACGCAUUCGAACAGUCUCAUCCGGUAAAGCGAAUGAUUAGAGGCAUUGGGGCCGAAAUGGCCUCAACCUAUUCUCAAACUUUAAAUGGGUGAGAUCUCCGUCUUGCUCGAAGGUGAAGUCGGAGCUCGGAUGGGAGUGCCAAGUGGGCCAAUUUUGGUAAGCAGAACUGGCGCUGUGGGAUGAACCAAACGUCGAGUUAAGGCGCCCAACGAACGCUCAUCGGAGACCAUAAAAGGCGUUGGUCGCUCAGGACAGCAGGACGGUGGCCAUGGAAGUCGGAAUCCGCUAAGGAGUGUGUAACAACUCACCUGCCGAAGCAACCAGCCCUGAAAAUGGAUGGCGCUGUAGCGUUCGGCCUAUACUCGACCGUCGCAGGCAAGCGGGUCGGCCUCGGCCGUCUUGAAGCCGCGACGAGUAGGAUGGUCGCGGCGGUGUGCGCAGAAGGGUCUGGGCGCGAGCCCGCCUGGAGCCUCCGUCGGCGCAGAUCUUGGUGGUAGUAGCAAAUACUCAAGCGAGGUCCUUGAGGGCUGAUGUGGAGAAGGGUUUCGCGUUAACAGCCGUUGCACGCGAGUUAGUCGAUCCUAAGCCCUAGGAGAGAUCCGAUGUUGAUGAUGGUGUCAUGUUGUUGUGUAUAUACAUAUGUAUAAUAGCACACCCGUCGGGCGAAAGGGAAUCCGGUUGCAGUUCCGGAACCCGGCUGCGGAACCGAUCUAAUAAGUCGUUCCCUCGCAAGAGAGUUCGUCGGGGUAACCCAAAGUGGCCUGAAGACGCCGACGGGAGAUCCGGAGAGAGUUAUCUUUUCUGCCUGAGCGUUCCCUGUGCGCCCUGGAAUCCUAUAGCGGGGAGAUAGGGCUCGGGACGCGAAGAGCAUCGCCGAUGCGGCGGUGUCCGGAUCGGCCCCUCGGACCUUGAAAAUUCAGGUGAGGGAUACGUGGAGAUGUCGCGCCGGCUCGUACCCAUAUCCGCAGCAGGUCUCCAAGGUGAAUAGCC